rnacentral:miRNA from 1 species
UGUGUAUUUGACAAGCUGAGUUG